GCUUUUUUCCAAGAUUAAGGAUCUUGGAGAAUAAGUGGUGGGUAAGACUGGUGCCAGCCGCCGCGGUAACCCCAGCGCCACAAGUCGCAAUCACGAUUAUUGGGCCUAAAGCGUCCGUAGCCGGACUAGCAAAUCUUUUGUGAAAUCGUUAAACUCAAUUUAACGGCGAGCAGAAGACACUACUAGUCUUGAGACCGGGAGGAGUUAGAAGUAUUCCUGGGGGAACGGUAAAAUGUGAUAAUCCCAGGAGGACUACCGGUGGCGAAGGCAUCUAACCAGAACGGAUCUGACGGUCAGGGACGAAAGCUAGGGGAGCGAACCGGAUUAGAUACAGGUUUUUGCCAAGAAUUUGAGCAAAAAGCGUGAUUUUUGUUACGCCCAAGCUCACAAAAAUAUGUUGUGUUCGUAAAUACUACUGCAAUGUAUUAUUGAUGCAAUAAACCUGCUAAUUACCCGAGUAGUCCUAGCUGUAAACGCUGUGAGCUAGGUGUUGCAUAUUCUUCGAGAAUAUGCAGUGUCGAAACGAAGGUACUAAGCUCACCGCCUGGGAAGUACGGUCGCAAGACUGAAACUUUAAGGAAUUGGCGGGGGAGCACCACAAGGGGUGCGGCGUGCGGUUUAAUCUAAUUCAACGCAGAGAACCUUACUAGCGGCGCCGGCAGAAUGAAAGUCAUGCUGAAGACAUUACUCGACGAGCCGAGAGGAGGUGCAUGGCCA
rnacentral:rRNA from 1 species